GUCGAACGGAGUAGCAAUACUCAGUGGCAGACGGGUGAGUAACAUGUAGGUAUCUGCCCUUUGGCCUGGAAUAACACGAGGAAACUUGUGCUAAUACCGGAUAAGUCUUUACGGAGAAAGCUUUAUGCACCAUUGGAUGAGCCUGCACUUGAUUAGUUUGUUGGUGGGGUAAUGGCCUACCAAGACUGUGAUCAAUAGCUGAUUUGAGAGGAUGAUCAGCCACAUUGGGACUGAGACACGGCCCAAACUCCUACGGGAGGCAGCAGUGGGGAAUCUUGCACAAUGGAGGAAACUCUGAUGCAGCGAUGCCGCGUGAGUGAAGAAGGCCCUUGGGUUGUAAAGCUCUUUCGUCGGGGAAGAAAAUGACUGUACCCGAAUAAGAAGGUCCGGCUAACUUCGUGCCAGCAGCCGCGGUAGUACGAAGGGACCUAGCGUAGUUCGGAAUUACUGGGCUUAAAGAGUUCGUAGGUGGUUGAAAAAGUUGGUGGUGAAAUCCCAGAGCUUAACUCUGGAACUGCCAUCAAAACUUUUCAGCUAGAGUUUGAUAGAGGAAAGCAGAAUUUCUAGUGUAGAGGUGAAAUUCGUAGAUAUUAGAAAGAAUACCAAUUGCGAAGGCAGCUUUCUGGAUCAUUACUGACACUGAGGAACGAAAGCAUGGGUAGCGAAGAGGAUUAGAUACCCU
rnacentral:rRNA from 1 species